rnacentral:rRNA from 1 species
GCCGGUGGUUUAGCGAGAGUGAAACACCCCUUCCCAUUCCGAACAGGUCCGUGAAACCUCUUUGCGUCGAUGGUACUAUGUCUUAAGGCAUGGGAGAGUAGAUUGCUGCCGGUU